AAAAUGUCUAGGAUGGGUGUAGGGCACGGCUAGGAAGGUUUGGGGUCAGAAAAUAUGGAGUUGGGUGAAGGUUGGGCUCGGCAAAGGUGAGGGACAGGUUCUGGCGUGAAUGGAGUUUUCUGGAUGUGUUUUUGGGUUUUUGAAGGUAGAUAGGAUAGUAUGGUGGUGCGGCAAGGUGUGGGAAUGGUUUAUGGAGGUGGAGAAUGGUGUAUGGAUGUGUGGAAUGGUGCUGGAAUGGAUGGAAGCUGCGGCAAAAGGUGGGAAAGGUUGCUGGAAUGGGUGGUGGCUGCGACAAGGAGGGGAUUAGGGUGAUGGUGAUUUUCUGAUUUGUGUAGAGGGAAUGAUGAUGUGCGGCUAGGGUUUAGAAAUAUAUAUAUAGGCAUUUAAAAACCCUAGCAAAUCAGAUUAGGGCCUCUAAAACACAAAUCCAUCAGAAAUUAGGUUGAAACAAUUAGACAUUUAGUGGGAAAAAGGGCCUAGGGUGCGGCUGGUAUGUGGGCUAAGGUUAGGGUUUCUAGAAACCCUAACAAGGCAAGGCAAAGUGAUUCUAGAGGGCCCAGGUGCGGCAUAGGAUGAAGGUCCAUAAGGAAUUUGGGUUUAGGUCAUCUAAAAGCCCAAAGCCAAGAAUAGAAACUCACGAAAAUGGAAACCUCCAAGAAUAGAAACUUCCAACUUUUAGAAACUUUGGUUGCCAAUUCCGGUUUAGGAAAGAUCAACCCAAAAUGGAAACUUUUAGGCUUAGCUUUCCUACAUCAAGUAGGAAACCUCAAAUCUUCAACUCUUCAAUUCCAUCCCAACCUUGUGUAGCAUGUCCUUUUCAAUCCGAGCUCACUUUCUUGCUCCAAAAGCUCCAACUUGCAUCAUUUCAUGUAAUACGUCCUUUAACCUGAAAACACAUGAAAGUAGCUUAAAAGACUACUUUAACGAAGAAAACAUAACAAAAAUGCAUAAGAACUAGCUAACUAAGGCGCAUAAAUAUGCUCCUAUCAAAUUCCCCCACACUUAGCUUUUGCUAGUCCUCGAGCAAAACAAACAAAAGAAAGAAAACAAAACGAAACAAACUAACCAAAACAAAACCUAAACCUUCCAACGUUUGCCUCAGGGAUUUCCAAUGCACAUGACAUGUUAAAGGUUGUUAUCCCCACAAAUUUGAGUCAUCUUUACACAAGCACAUACUUAAUUAAAGCCACUACUCACUAGUUCACAAGUAAUCAAUUAAAACAAUGCUUUGAAUGUAGUAACAUGCCUUAGAAAGUUCCCUCAAUUCCUUACAAGAUAUACACUCUAUUUUCACUCAGAUUUUCUAACUCCACACCCUACACUAGUCAUAUGUGAGAAGAUUGAUGUAAAUAUGGAAACGAAUGCUCACAUAUAUGUAUCACAAAGAACGCAAUUUCUAGAGUUAAGAAGCAUGUUUAGAUAUGAUCUCAUGAAUGGAAUGCUACUACUUAGAUGCGAGAACCAGUGACACCAUAUGCUCAUACCAAAUUCAAACUCCACAAAUUGAAACACAUAACACUCAAGAUAGAAGUUAAGGGUUGUAAUGGGGCUUGGGGUGUUGGUUAACAAGGAAAGGAUAGGGAAAACAAACGUUCUUCAAGCAAUAGUAAGCACAGCAAUGAAAUUGAGACUUAGAAUUCACUUAGAUUGCAGAAAUUAACUUUAAAACACAAGGGGGAGACUUAAACAACUCCUUAGGGUCAAAUUCAUUGUUUUGGACCCUUACUUCAACAAACAAUACUUUGGAACUCUUUUUCUCAACUUUUCAACUUUUUUUUCAUUCUUCUCGUAUUUUUUUUUUCUUCAAUUUUUCUUUUCUUUGCCGUGCCUAUGGCACACAAUUCCUCAUGAAAAACACUUCCCCCACACUUAUUUUCUGCUAACAUAGAUCACAAGGAAUUCAAUUCGAAUCAUGCUUUACUAUGCUUUAAGAACAAGGGUAUGGAUAGUCCUAAUCUAAGGCUAGGUGAGGGUAAUGUGGGUUAACAAAGAAAAGGCUAAACAAGGCUCAACGGGGUUAAACUUAAACAUAUAAUGGAGUAGGGCACACGGCUUUUUGGCUAAGGUGGUGGUCACUACACAACUUCAUCUUGAAUAUGUGUUAUGCAAUUCAAUGACAUGCUUUGAAUGAAAUGGGCAUGAGUUCUAGCAUUUGGAACUAAAUGAUGAAACGCCUUCUAAGUAGUAACCAAGCAAAGAAUAAUGAGAUCAUGCAACGACUUAGAAAACAAAGAAUGCACAGAUUUUAACUCUCCAAAUAAACGUUUAGGCUCAAGUCUCACAAGGUUGUAGCGUUAGUUUGAGUUCCUUCCUUCAAGCAUGUUACAAAAACUGAUUUUUUUCUUUUAUGAUUGCAUGUGAAUUCAUAAGUUAUAACCACAACUAAGCAUACACAAAGAGUAAAUCAAACUUUCAUCCAUGUUAAUCACUCUCUUUAACAGCCAUGUAAUUACAAACCGAAUCCUCAUCAUUGUGUUGGAAGGUACCCUAAGACACAAACAAACACACAAAAACAACUCUUUUUGGGUUUUUAAAACAAAUUUUUCAAAUUUUUAUGUAAUUUUCGGAUUUUUACUUCAAAACACAUUAAAACACAUCAAAACUGCUCAAAAACACUUAAAAACAGCAAGGAACAAGUCUUCAAGUUUAGGGUGAUAAAAUCCCACGAAUUUGCAUCUAAAACACUUAGUUACCCCCCCACACUUAAAUCAAACAUUGUCCUCAAUGUUUCAAGCAUAAAAUCACACUAAAAAAAAAGAAACACACAAACAGCAACUAAAACAACUAAAUAGGCAGAUUCGAAAUAAAUAACAAAGGGAAGAGUUUAGGAACGCAAAUCUGGAAUUGGAGUGAUUCCUUGGUCUUCCUUUGUUGAAUUGCAUGGGUUGCCUCCCAAGUAGCGCUUUCUUUUACGUCUUGCAGCCGGACGAAAAACACAAUCAUGCCCUAUUGGAGCCCACGGCACUCUCAUACAUUGCAUCUUUGAACGGUAAUGGAUAGUGAUGUUCGUUGAUGGGUGCGUUGUGUUGCCUAAGGUUCACGUACAUGCGCCCACCAUCGGGGAUUUGCUUGGGUACCUGCACCAUAGAAGGGAACCACCUCUUAAUUUUAAUGGGAAUUGGAUUUGGACUAGGUGCCUUACCUUGGUGUUGUGAUGAAGUGGCAGCAACAUGAACUGUUUUCCUCAUGGUAUUCUCGGCCACAUGGGGUAUCUUAAGGGCAGUGGCCGUGGGGUCCUCAUGCUCCACUCCAAUUCCCUCAUCUUGCAUGGUUCUUGAAGCAACCUUUGUGUUAGGGGCUGAAUGAUCCGUCCCUAUCUUUUCUAUCGUAUCAAUAACACAACAAGAACGAACAACGUUAGGAGUCUCAAUGGAUUCAGGAAUUUUAAAACAAAUCAUAUCACCACCAAAUGCCAUAGUUACUUCUCCUUUGGCUACAUCAAUCUUGGUUUGAGCCGUUUUCAUGAAAGGCCGUCCAAGGAGAAUGGGCAAUGAAGGAGCAUGGUCCGAUUCAUCCAUUUCGAGGACAUAGAAAUCCGCCGGGAAGACUAAAUGAUUAACCUGCACAAGAACAUCUUCCAAAACUCCCUUUGGAUAGGCGUUAGAUCUAUCAGCCAAUUGUAUUAUUACACCAUCCUGUUUAAGUGCUCCUAGAUUCAUAGAUGCAUAAACAGAAUAUGGCAUAACAUUAAUAGAUGCUCCUAAAUCUAGCAUGGCAGAUUUGAAACGGGUAUUACCAAUGACACAUGGAAUUGUAAAGCUCCCCGGAUCUUUGCAUUUGGGGGGUAGUUUACGUUGCAAGAUGGCGGAGACAUUCUCGCUUACAUGUACCACUUCUUUCUCCCGGGCACGUUUCUUUGUCGCACAAAGCUUCUUUAAACACUUGGCAUACUUCGGGAUUUGCUUUAUUGCAUCAAGGAGGGGAAUGUUGACAUUGCACCUUUCCUAAACGUCUCUAGAACAUCUUUUUCCUCCUCUUCGUUCUUGGAUUGCAAAAAUCUACUAGGAAAGGGGACAUUCAAAGGAAAAACAUUAGUAGGACUUGAAUUUAACACAUUCUUACCCUUAUUGGACAGAUUUGCAGGUUUAGGGUCAUUGGAGGCUUGCGGCAAAGGUGGAACCACCCUUGCCGUGGGUUGCUUUGAUUCCUCCUCUUCCAUUUGCAAAAUUUCAUCCUCGUUAUGACCUGUUUUUGAUGAAGAACCUGCCCCAACUUCUUUUCCACUCCUUAGCAUGAUUGCAUUUGCGGUUUCAAAGCCUCCUUUUGGAUUCGCAAUGGUUGAACUAGGAAGCUUUCCUUGUUCUCUAAACUGCCCAACAAACUCGGCAAUCUGCCCAAUUUGUUUCUCAAGUUGAUCCACCCUUUUGUCUUGGAUUUGCAUAGCCUUAGCUUGAUCUUCCUGUCCAUUAGACAACUUAGUUAGUAUCUUAAGAAGUGCAUCAUUGUCAAGAGACGUACCUGAGGCACUUGGGCCGGAUUGGGCUUGAUUUUGGGGUGGGCCGUAGGUUUUGGGAAAGAACCCCGGGGGUUGUUGCCUAAAGCCUCCUUGGUUCUGAGGUUGCUGGGGCUCCCUCCAUUUGAAGUUUGGAUGGUCCCGCCACCCCGGAUUAUACGUGUUGGAGUAUGGAUCAUGCCUUGACUGAUUUUGGCUUUGAAACCCAAUGGCAUUCGCACUCUCCCAUUCGCCAUUCUCGAUGAGUUGAGGACAUUUUUCGGAGACAUGUCCUUGGAUAGAACAUACGCCACACACCACAGGUCCUUGUAUCUUCAUUCCCUCGGCCAUCUGUGAAACAAUAGAAGUAAGAUUAGCCAAUUGUGAAUGAAGAUCGGAAGUUGAACUUACCUCAUGUACUUGGUGCCGUGGGGGUCCCCUUUGGCCUACACCCUCGUAUUGUUGAGCGUUCAACGCUCUAUUAGCAAUCAAGACCUUGGCAGCCAUGGGUGUUUUGUCCACUAAUGCCCCCCCCGCCGAAGCAUCAAGCAUUUGACGUUCUAGAGGUAAUAGACCCUCGUAGAAAUAUUGCAAAAGCAACUCCUCCUUCAUCUGAUGCUGUGGACAAGAAGCAACAAGUGAUUUAAAUCGUUCAUAAUAUGUAGAGAAAGACUCACCUUCUUCUUGCUGAAUUCCGCUUAUCUUUUUGCGUAGGAGGAUGAUGCGAGAAGUUGGAAAGAACUUCUCCAAGAACGCUCUCUUCAUACUCUCCCAAGAAGUGACAGUGCCGGGAGCUAACUCAUAUAACCAAUCCUUGGCUUUAUCCAUCAAAGAGAAUGGAAAAGCCUUCAUCUUCAAGAUAUUUCCGUCAACAUUGACGGGAGUCAUACUAGAGCAAACUACUUCAAAUUCUUUCAAAUGUUUGUUAGGAUCUUCCAUGGACAAGCCAUGGUAUUUAGGAAUAUGAUGAAGCAAACUUGACUUUAAUUCAAACUCAUCCGUCUUACCUUGGGCAGCCGCGGGGUAUUGGAUGCACAAGGGUGUGCGGCAUUAUCCAAACCCGAGGCGGAAAGCUCCUUGAGUGUACGAUUGUCCAUGGCCAUGCCUUGGACUUCUUCAAAUAUCCCUGCCGUGGCUUCCUCCUCCUCUUCUUGUAUGUUUUCUUCAAGGUCAGAUUCGGAAUUGAGUGGAGGGUGUUCUUGCUGAUUUCUAGCUCUUCUCAAAUUCCUCUCAAAAUCGUCGUCAAAAUCCAAGAUGUUCACACGAAUCGGUUGAGAGCUUCUAGUCAUACAUUAGUACCUAAGAACAAGAAACAAAAUUAGGUCAGAAACUUAAACAAAGUCAGAAACAAAGUGAAAUAAAAGAAACAAAAACAAUCCAAGGGAUUAGCAAAAUUGCUAAUCCCCGGCAACGGCGCCAAAAAUUUGAUGUGAAAAUUAACUUGACACACAAAUUAAACCCUCUUUUUGUCAAAUUGUAGCAAAGAUGUAAGUAGGGAUCGUUCUAGACCGGGGAUUAGGAGGGAUUGCUAAACGCUUGGAAACUGACUUAAACACUCAAAAACAAAGUUAAAAACACUAAACUAGACUCAAAGAAUGCAAAACUAAAAGUUAAAACACUUAAACAAACCUAAAAACCAAAACAGCAACUAGAAGGCUCAAAACUGCCUAAAAACCACUUUCUGGGCAGUUUUGAGCACCUACACUAAUUUGGACGAAAUUUGAUGAAAACUUGAAUCAAAAUACUUAGAAACACAAAUCAAAACACUUUCUAACUAAUCUAAGACUUCAAAUUAAAGGGGGAUUUGUUUUGGACGAAAAUUAAACUAAAGAAAACAGAUUGGAAAUAGGGCAGAUUGUAAAAACGAUUUUGGUGAAAUAGAUGGUUAAAAGGCUAGUUAGGAGGUUCUUCUCCACACAUGUCACACUUGCAAACAAAACGAUUUUCAGUUGUUCUUCCGAUAAACUUAUGAAUACUCAACGCCCCAAGUUAACCGUGAAUUACACUAAUUAACCCUCAGUUUUUCCACAAGUUAUUAAGUUGGAUGAUUGCAUAUGACAACCCAAAACAUUCCCUACAAGUUCCCUACAUGAAUUGCAUAAUAGAGAUACAAGCAAGAAUCAUUACGUUCUAUGAAAAAACAUAAGCAUUGACGAAGCAUUUGUUACUAUGAAUUGCAUGAAACUUAUGCUAAGAAUUCAUUCAACGCGAUCGUUUUCAAGCGAUCUUCACUACUUGUGAUUAUAAGAUUGUAACUAUUAGGUGAAACUCCCUCAUAAUCUAGCAUCAUAUUCAUGCAUGAAAACUAAGCGUGCACUCUCAAUCAACAUACACAAAUAAGUUUAUCAAUCAAAUAGAUGAACGAAUUGAAUCCAUAACUUAUGAAAUAACAACUGAAUGUAAUCGAAUCAAAUUGCAAGCAUGUACAUGGUUUCGAAUCACCCCCCAACUAAGGGGGUUUAGUUCCUCAUACUCACAACACAAAGUUUAUUGAAUUGAAACAUCGAAGACAUAAGAAAGAUUACACCUAAAAUGCCAAAGAAUUCCACUUUGAAUUCUGCACAGCAAGCUCCUCUUUCUUCUUCUCCUUGCUGCGGCAGAGAGGGUUUAGGGGAUUUUUGGGUAGUUUUGGAUGAUUUUGGACGAGGGAGAAUGGUGGAAAAUGUCUAGGAUGGGUGUAGGGCACGGCUAGGAAGGUUUGGGGUCAGAAAAUAUGGAGUUGGGUGAAGGUUGGGCUCGGCAAAGGUGAGGGACAGGUUCUGGCGUGAAUGGAGUUUUCUGGAUGUGUUUUUGGGUUUUUGAAAGGUAGAUAGGAUAGUAUGGUGGUGCGGCAAGGUGUGUGGAAUGGUUUAUGGAGGUGGAGAAUGGUGUAUGGAUGUGUGGAAUGGUGCUGGAAUGGAUGGAAGCUGCGGCAAAAGGUGGGAAAGGUUGCUGGAAUGGGUGGUGGCUGCGGCAAGGAGGGGAUUUGGGUGAUGGUGAUUUUCUGAUUUGUGUAGAGGGAAUGAUGAUGUGCGGCUAGGGUUUAGAAAUAUAUAUAUAGGCAUUUAAAAACCCUAGCAAAUCAGAUUAGGGCCUCUAAAACACAAAUCCAUCAGAAAUUAGGUUGAAACAAUUAGACAUUUAGUGGGAAAAAGGGCCUAGGGUGCGGCUGGUAUGUGGGCUAAGGUUAGGGUUUCUAGAAACCCUAACAAGGCAAGGCAAAGUGAUUCUAGAGGGCCCAGGUGCGGCAUAGGAUGAAGGUCCAUAAGGAAUUUGGGUUUAGGUCAUCUAAAAGCCCAAAGCCAAGAAUAGAAACUCACGAAAAUGGAAACCUCCAAGAAUAGAAACUUCCAACUUUUAGA
rnacentral:lncRNA from 1 species